UACGGAGGGUGCAAGCAUUAAUCGGAUUUAUUGGGCGUAAAGGGCGCGUAGGCGGAGAUAAUAGUCAGAUGUGAAAUCCUGGGGCUCAACCUCAGAACUGCAUUUGAAACUGUAUCUCUAGAGGGUAGGAGGAGAAAACGGAAUUCCACAAGUAGCGGUGAAAUGCGUAGAUAUGUGGAAGAACACCGGUGGCGAAGGCGGUUUUCUAUCUUAUUCCUGACGCUGAUGCGCGAAAGCAAGGGGAUCAAACAGG
rnacentral:rRNA from 1 species